GGCGAGAUGGCCGAGUUGGUCUAAGGCGUGAGACUAAGGUUUCUCCUAAUCUCAUCUCUUCGGAGGCGUGGGUUCAAAUCCCACUUUCGUCA
rfam:Sphaerobolus stellatus SS14 unplaced genomic scaffold SPHSTscaffold_442, whole genome shotgun sequence.